CAUACGUCACCAGAGUGUUGCGAGGAUUAAAAUCAGGGUUGGAGCCAUGGCCAUGCGUAUGAUUGUAGCUGUAAUUGUGACUGGUAGAGAGUAGAGACAGAGCUGUCAUGUUUGUAAUGUAACAGUCAUGGCCUGAUGCUUCACAAAUUUUUUUGUAAAAAUUGCAAAAUGCAAUAAAUGAAUAAAUAUUCUAGGGUAAGGGUGGCAAUUUUAGACUUGAUCCGCGAACAUGACAUGAAAACUGUGGGGGUUAGGGAUGGGCUUGUUCGUGUUGAUCUCGAAAUUGUAUCAGUCUGUUUAUGAGACACUGAUAAUCUUGUUGUGUUACAUGUUAACCUGAUUUGACACAUUUGUGACGUGCUUUAUUGUUUGUGUCACGUGUCAACCUAUAACUUGCUAAGUCGUUUUGAUCUGCUAAGUUGUUUUGACUGGCUAACCCACAAAUGGCAUUAUUAAAAAAAUUAAAUUAAUAAAUAUAAGUCAAAUUAUUUGUUAUAUUAGAUUGUUGUUACUUUAUUAGAGUUGGUUUAUAUUCUCCUUAUUAAAUUUUAUUUAAUUUGUGAAUUUCUGUAACAAAUUAAAAGUUGUAUUGUUUUAAAAUUAUUUUUUUAAUUUUAUUUAAAAUAUUGAUUAGCUAAAUGUUGAAAUAUCACUUGCUUGUUUAAUGUUAGAUUCUAUUAUUUUUAUACAUUAUUAAAUUUAUGCAUUAUUAUAAUAAAUUUAUAAAUUUCAUAUAAUAUAUUAUUGGAAAAAUUACACUUAAGUACUUCGAGGUUUACGCAUUUUAUUAAAAGGG
rnacentral:misc_RNA from 1 species